rnacentral:rRNA from 1 species
AUUGAACGCUGGCGGUAUGCCUUACACAUGCAAGUCGAACGGUAGAGGGGCAACCCUUGAGAGUGGCGAACGGGUGAGUAAUACAUCGGAACGUGCCCAGUCGUGGGGGAUAACGUAGCGAAAGCUACGCUAAUACCGCAUACGACCUGAGGGUGAAAGCGGGGGAUCGCAAGACCUCGCGCGAUUGGAGCGGCCGAUGGCAGAUUAGGUAGGUGGUGGGGUAAAGGCCUACCAAGCCUGCGAUCUGUAGCUGGUCUGAGAGGACGACCAGCCACACUGGGACUGAGACACGGACCAGACUCCUACGAGAGGCAGCAGUGGGGAAUUUUGGACAAUGGGCGAAAGCCUGAUCCAGCCAUUCCGCGUGCGGGAAGAAGGCCUUCGGGUUGUAAACCGCUUUUGUCAGGGAAGAAAUCUUCUGGGUUAAUACCUCGGGAGGAUGACGGUACCUGAAGAAUAAGCACCGGCCAACUACGUGCCAGCCGCCGCGGUAA